GCUACGGGUGGCAGCAGUGGGGAAUAUUUGACAAUGGGGGCAACCCUGAUCCAGCCAUGCCGCGUGUGUGAAGAAGGCCCUCGGGUUGUAAAGCACUUUCAGUGAGGAAGAACGCCUGGUGGUUAAUACCCAUCAGGAAAGACAUCACUCACAGAAGAAGCACCGGCUAACUCCGUGCCAGCAGCCGCGGUAAUACGGAGGGUGCGAGCGUUAAUCGGAAUUACUGGGCGUAAAGCGCGCGUAGGUGGCUUGAUAAGCCGGUUGUGAAAGCCCCGGGCUCAACCUGGGAACGGCAUCCGGAACUGUCAAGCUAGAGUGCAGGAGAGGAAGGUAGAAUUCCCGGUGUAGCGGUGAAAUGCGUAGAGAUCGGGAGGAAUACCAGUGGCGAAGGCGGCCUUCUGGACUGACACUGACACUGAGGUGCGAAAGCGUGGGUAGCAAACAGGAUUAGAUACCCUAGUAGUC
rnacentral:rRNA from 1 species